rnacentral:rRNA from 1 species
GACGUCGGGCGCGAGCGUUGUCCGGAUUUAUUGGGCGUAAAGAGCUCGUAGGCGGCUUGUCGCGUCGACUGUGAAAUCCCGCGGCUCAACUGCGGGUCUGCAGUCGAUACGGGCAGGCUAGAGUUCGGUAGGGGAGACUGGAAUUCCUGGUGUAGCGGUGAAAUGCGCAGAUAUCAGGAGGAACACCGGUGGCGAAGGCGGGUCUCUGGGCCGAUACUGACGCUGAGGAGCGAAAGCGUGGGGAGCGAACAGG